CGCGCAGCCUCCAGCGGGGACGGCAGGCCUCGGGCGGAGGGAGACAAGGAGCGGAAAGGCCCGCCCCUCCCGGUGUAGUCCGAGAUCCAGUGGGGGGAGCUGUUGUCCUCGGAGCCAGCCAACGCUGCGGUCGUGGUGCUAACCGGCGCGCUCGUCUGGGCUGGCUCCUCCUUGCUGCAGCAGCUCCUGCUCAUCUCUGACGUGAUCUUCGCCACCGCCGUCAAGUGCUCCUUCGUCACCGUGCAUGCACCUGCUCUUCGUCCUCAUCGCGCUCCUGUGACCGGCUUCAUCGCCAUGUCACUCCAUCUCCACGAGGUGUGCCUGCAGCAAAUAGAGGGGAGGGCGGAUGCCAUGAGCCACAGGCAAUGGAUCGGAGGACUUCAUGUUGAGGAGGAUGUCGCUGUGCCGCUCCCCACUAAUCAACGUCGUGCCACCCCUACCACGGUACUGCCACUCUCCUUCCCACGAUGCGCCGUGGAGGCUGUGGUGGGCAACAGCGGCGGCCAUGGCCGACGACACCAUGGGCCGGUUGAUCGACGGCCAGAAGAUUGUAAGGCUGUCAGGAUGCUGGCGCCAUGAACCUGGAAAGACUCUUUCACCUGCUACUCCCAUCCAUGUACAUGCUUACCAUGUGUUUGCUGAUAUUCCCUAGAGCUCUAUCAUUUUGUUGAUAUUUCUCACCAUGUGUUCAUUGCAACCACGACAAGCUUGCCUUCCAGUUCUGUCCUCCCUGUUAUAAGACACACUCUAUUGCUAUCCCUCAUUUUAUUCCUCUAGAUAAGUGAGCGGUGGAUAUGUUGAGUCCAAAUAUGUGGAGGUUUGGUUAGUUUGCCACUGCCUUUUGGCGAGAUGAUUUAACAAUGAACAGGAUAAAUUAGUAUACAAUGCCAACCCUUAUCUUUGAUAAGUGGCAUACAUAAUUCAAUAACAUAGGCUGAAAUGAAUUGUUGACUGCCUCAAAUUGUAGGUUGUUUUGAAGGAGCAUGUGAAGAAAAGUGGUCUUUCAAAGAGGAUUGCGCUGGUUAGUUCUUCCCCUUUACUGAGAUGAUAUAUAGGAGUUUCUCAUUCGCUUGCUUGCUGGUGCUGCAUAAAUUAGUAGGGUGUCUAUCCCUCCAAUAACUGAGUGUGUCAAUACUGCUGGAGCUAUCCAUCACGCCAGUGCUUAAAGACCUCUUCUAUCUGCCAGCGUACUAAUGUAGUACUAUGGAGGCUGAGAUGGUUCCUCACGCAAGCAGGAUGAUUACCCUAGAUUUCUAAAGCCAGAUGAAGCGGAGAUCGCCCCAUUUGAUUAUCUAAUAAGAUUCUAUCUUUUCAUGUGAUGCAUCCCAUAAUUAUUUGCAUCUUGUGACAUAAUUUUAAUGUAUAAAUGGCUAAAAUGCUAAUUUUUUCUUUUAUUAUCUUCCAAUUCAUGUACUGUCAAGUCCAUUCUUGGACACGAAGUAAGUGGAAAUCUACUCACCUUAUUUUUGGGUA